AGUAACGGCGAGUGAAGCGGCAACAGCUCAAAUUUGAAAUCUGGCUCUUUUAGAGUCCGAGUUGUAAUUUGCAGAGGGCGCUUUGGCUUUGGCAGCGGUCCAAGUUCCUUGGAACAGGACGUCACAGAGGGUGAGAAUCCCGUACGUGGUCGCUGGCUAUUGCCGUGUAAAGCCCCUUCGACGAGUCGAGUUGUUUGGGAAUGCAGCUCUAAAUGGGAGGUACAUUUCUUCUAAAGCUAAAUAUUGGCCAGAGACCGAUAGCGCACAAGUAGAGUGAUCGAAAGAUGAAAAGCACUUUGGAAAGAGAGUCAAACAGCACGUGAAAUUGUUAAAAGGGAAGCGCUUGCAGCCAGACUUGCUUGCAGUUGCUCAUCCGGGCUUUUGCCCGGUGCACUCUUCUGUAGGCAGGCCAGCAUCAGUUUGGGCGGUAGGAUAAAGGUCUCUGUCACGUACCUCCUCUCGGGGAGGCCUUAUAGGGGAGACGACAUACUACCAGCCUGGACUGAGGUCCGCGCAUCUGCUAGGAUGCUGGCGUAAUGGCUGUAAGCGGCCCGUCUUGAAACACGGACCAAGGAGUCUAACAUCUAUGCGAGUGUUUGGGUGUCAAGCCCGAGCGCGUAAUGAAAGUGAACGGAGGUGGGAACCCGCAAGGGUGCACCAUCGACCGAUCCUGAUGUCUUCGGAAGGAUUUGAGUAAGAGCAUGGCUGUUGGGACCCGAAAGAUGGUGAACUAUGCUUGAAUAGGGUGAAGCCAGAGGAAACUCUGGUGGAGGCUCGCAGCGGUUCUGACGUGCAAAUCGAUCGUCAAAUUUGGGCAUAGGGGCGAAAGACUAAUCGAACUAUCUAGUAGCUGGUUCCUGCCGAAGUUUCCCUCAGGAUAGCAGUAACGUAUUCAGUUUUAUGAGGUAAAGCGAAUGAUUAGAGGCCUGGGGGUUGAAACAACCUUCACCUAUUCUCAAACUUUAAAUAUGUAAGAAGUC
rnacentral:rRNA from 1 species